AGUGAACGCUGGCGGUAGGCCUAACACAUGCAAGUCGAACGGCAGCACAGUAAGAGCUUGCUCUUACGGGUGGCGAGUGGCGGACGGGUGAGGAAUACAUCGGAAUCUACUUUUUCGUGGGGGAUAACGUAGGGAAACUUACGCUAAUACCGCAUACGACCUACGGGUGAAAGCAGGGGAUCUUCGGACCUUGCGCGAUUGAAUGAGCCGAUGUCGGAUUAGCUAGUUGGCGGGGUAAAGGCCCACCAAGGCGACGAUCCGUAGCUGGUCUGAGAGGAUGAUCAGCCACACUGGAACUGAGACACGGUCCAGACUCCUACGGGAGGCAGCAGUGGGGAAUAUUGGACAAUGGGCGCAAGCCUGAUCCAGCCAUACCGCGUGGGUGAAGAAGGCCUUCGGGUUGUAAAGCCCUUUUGUUGGGAAAGAAAAGCAGCAGGUUAAUACCCCGCUGUUCGGACGGUACCCAAAGAAUAAGCACCGGCUAACUGCGU
rnacentral:rRNA from 1 species